rnacentral:tRNA from 1 species
CAUAGCUCAGUUGGUAGAGCAAAGGACUGAAAAUCCUUGUGUCCCCGGUUCGAUUCCUGGUGGCACCA